CCGUUAAGCAUAGGACAGCGGCAAUCUUGGCGGGUGGUGGCGCCAGACACCGGCCCAACCUCUCCCUUCCACCCGCUUACAAGUAGUUUCAAAUAAAAAAAAAAUUAAAGAAAAUGGAAGCGCCAGAUCUUCGGUCAUCGGGGGUCUCGCCUUAAUCACCGGCAGAUAUGGGCGGCGGAUGGUUGGGAGACGGUGGUGGUCCACUGACUGGUCCUUUUCCAACAGCCACUAGUCG
rnacentral:lncRNA from 1 species